GUACUACUCCAUCUGUUCGGAAAUACUUGUCAUCGAAAUGAAUGCAUCUAGAUGUAUUUUAAUUCUAGAUACAUCAAUUUUCAUCCAUUUAUGCGACAAGUAUUUCCGGACGGAGGGUGUAGGUG
rfam:Triticum aestivum genome assembly, contig: Triticum_aestivum_CS42_TGACv1_scaffold_515374_6BS